AGACCCGAAACCCGGUGAUCUAGCCAUGGGCAGGUUGAAGGUUGGGUAACACUAACUGGAGGACCGAACCGACUAAUGUUGAAAAAUUAGCGGAUGACCUGUGGCUGGGGGUGAAAGGCCAAUCAAACCGGGAGAUAGCUGGUUCUCCCCGAAAGCUAUUUAGGUAGCGCCUCGUGAAUUCAUCUCCGGGGGUAGAGCACUGUUUCGGCUAGGGGGCCAUCCCGGCUUACCAACCCGAUGCAAACUGCGAAUACCGGAGAAUGUUAUCACGGGAGACACACGGCGGGUGCUAACGUCCGUCGUGAAGAGGGAAACAACCCAGACCGCCAGCUAAGGUCCCAAAGUCAUGGUUAAGUGGGAAACGAUGUGGGAAGGCCCAGACAGCCAGGAUGUUGGCUUAGAAGCAGCCAUCAUUUAAAGAAAGCGUAAUAGCUCACUGGUCGAGUCGGCCUGCGCGGAAGAUGUAACGGGGCUAAACCAUGCACCGAAGCUGCGGCAGCGAACGUAUCACCCAAGACAACUUUACGGAGUUGACGAUUGACGGAGCGAAGCGACGUCAAAGCGUUCAUUAAAGUCGAGUUGGCUUAGGGAUACGUUCGUUGGGUAGGGGAGCGUUCUGUAAGCCUGUGAAGGUGUGUCGUGAGGCAUGCUGGAGGUAUCAGAAGUGCGAAUGCUGACAUAAGUAACGAUAAAGCGGGUGAAAAGCCCGCUCGCCGGAAGACCAAGGGUUCCUGUCCAACGUUAAUCGGGGCAGGGUGAGUCGACCCCUAAGGCGAGGCCGAAAGGCGUAGUCGAUGGGAAACGGGUUAAUAUUCCCGUACUUGGUGUUACUGCGAAGGGGGGACGGAGAAGGCUAUGUUGGCCGGGCGACGGUUGUCCCGGUUUAAGCGUGUAGGUGUGUGUUCCAGGUAAAUCCGGUUCACUUUAACACUGAGGCGUGACGACGAGGCACUACGGUGCUGAAGCAACAAAUGCCCUGCUUCCAGGAAAAGCCUCUAAGCAUCAGGUAACACGAAAUCGUACCCCAAACCGACACAGGUGGUCAGGUAGAGAAUACCAAGGCGCUUGAGAGAACUCGGGUGAAGGAACUAGGCAAAAUGGUGCCGUAACUUCGGGAGAAGGCACGCUGACACGUAGGUGAAGUGAUUUACUCAUGGAGCUGAAGUCAGUCGAAGAUACCAGCUGGCUGCAACUGUUUAUUAAAAACACAGCACUGUGCAAACACGAAAGUGGACGUAUACGGUGUGACGCCUGCCCGGUGCCGGAAGGUUAAUUGAUGG
rnacentral:rRNA from 1 species